rnacentral:rRNA from 1 species
GACGAACGCUGGCGGCGUGCCUAAUACAUGCAAGUCGAGCGGACUUUCAAGAAGCUUGCUUUUUGAAAGUUAGCGGCGGACGGGUGAGUAACACGUGGGCAACCUGCCUGUAAGACGGGGAUAACUCCGGGAAACCGGGGCUAAUACCGGAUAAUAUCUUUCUUCGCAUGAAGGAAGGUUGAAAGGCGGCGCAAGCUGCCGCUUGCAGAUGGGCCCGCGGCGCAUUAGCUAGUUGGUGAGGUAACGGCUCACCAAGGCGACGAUGCGUAGCCGCCCUGGGCGGGUGAUAGGCCACACUGGGACUGAGACACGGCCCAGACUCCUACGGGAGGCAGCAGUAGGGAAUCUUCCGCAAUGGACGAAAGUCUGACGGAGCAACGCCGCGUGAGCGAAGAAGGUCUUCGGAUCGUAAAGCUCUGUUGUCAGGGAAGAACAAGUACCGUUCGAAUAGGGCGGUACCUUGACGGUACCUGACCAGAAAGCCACGGCUAACUACGUGCCAGCCGCCGCCGUAA